rnacentral:rRNA from 1 species
UACGUAGGUGGCAAGCGUUGUCCGGAUUUACUGGGCGUAAAGAGCGCGCAGGCGGUCGUAUAAGUCGAAUGUGAAAGCCCCCGGCUCAACUGGGGAGGGUCAUUCGAUACUGUUCGACUCGAAGGCAGGAGAGGGAAGUGGAAUUCCGGGUGUAGUGGUGAAAUGCGUAGAUAUCCGGAGGAACACCAGUGGCGAAGGCGACUUUCUGGCCUGUUCUUGACGCUGAGGCGCGAAAGCUAGGGGAGCGAACAGG